rnacentral:rRNA from 1 species
AUUGAACGCUGGCGGCAUGCUUUACACAUGCAAGUCGAACGGCAGCGCGGGCUUCGGCCUGGCGGCGAGUGGCGAACGGGUGAGUAAUGCAUCGGAACGUGCCCAGUAGUGGGGGAGAGCCCGGCGAAAGCCGGAUUAAUACCGCAUACUACCUGAGGGUGAAAGCGGGGGACCGAAAGGCCUCGCGCUAUUGGAGCGACCGAUGUCGGAUUAGCUAGUUGGUGGGGUAAAGGCUUACCAAGGCGACGAUCCGUAGCUGGUCUGAGAGGACGACCAGCCACACUGGGACUGAGACACGGACCAGACUCCUACGGGAGGCAGCAGUGGGGAAUUUUGGACAAAGGGGGCAACCCUGAUACAGCCAUGCCGCGUGCGGGAAGAAGGCCUUCGGGUUGUAAACCGCUUUUGUUCGGGAAGAAAUCCUCUGGGCUAAUACCCCGGGGGGAUGACGGUACCGGAAGAAUAAGCACCGGCUAACUACGUG